CAGCCGCCGCGGGAAUACGUAGGGUCCGAGCGUUGUCCGGAAUUACUGGGCGUAAAGAGCUCGUAGGUGGUUUGUCGCGUUGUUCGUGAAAACUCACAGCUCAACUGUGGGCGUGCGGGCGAUACGGGCAGACUAGAGUACUGCAGGGGAGACUGGAAUUCCUGGUGUAGCGGUGGAAUGCGCAGAUAUCAGGAGGAACACCGGUGGCGAAGGCGGGUCUCUGGGCAGUAACUGACGCUGAGGAGCGAAAGCGUGGGGAGCGAACAGGAUUAGAUACCCCUGUAGUCCCUGUCUCUUAUAC
rnacentral:rRNA from 1 species